rnacentral:rRNA from 1 species
CGAACGCUGGCGGCGUGCUUAACACAUGCAAGUCGAACGAGAAAGCUCCCUUCGGGGGGUGAGUACAGUGGCGCACGGGUGCGUAACACGUGGGUAAUCUACCCUUGAGUGGGGGAUAACAUCUCGAAAGGGGUGCUAAUACCGCAUAACAUGGUUUGCUCUUCGGAGCGGAUCAUCAAAGGCUUCGGCCACUCGAGGAUGAGCCCGCGCCCCAUCAGCUUGUUGGUAGGGUAACGGCCUACCAAGGCAACGACGGGUAGCUGGUCUGAGAGGAUGAUCAGCCACAUUGGGACUGGAACACGGCCCAGACUCCUACGGGAGGCAGCAGUGAGGAAUUUUGCGCAAUGGGCGAAAGCCUGACGCAGCAACGCCGCGUGGGUGAUGAAGGCCUUCGGGUUGUAAAGCCCUGUCGCCGGGGAAGAAUCGAUGACGGUACCCGGAAAGGAAGCACCGGCUAACUCU